UCCAUCGCGAGGUGGAAUCUGAAGGAAGCCGGAGGCAAACUUCUGGCCUGACGAACAGGAAUCACAUAAGGCAUGCAUAGGCUG
rfam:Desulfotomaculum sp. 46_80 MPI_scaffold_2264, whole genome shotgun sequence.